GAUGAACGCUGGCGGCGUGCCUAAUACAUGCAAGUCGAGCGAACAGAUAAGGAGCUUGCUCCUUUGACGUUAGCGGCGGACGGGUGAGUAACACGUGGAUGACCUACCUAUAAGACUGGGAUAACUUCGGGAAACCGGAGCUAAUACCGGAUAACAUAUUGAACCGCAUGGUUCAAUAGUGAAAGGCGGCUUUGCUGUCACUUAUAGAUGGAUCCGCGCCGUAUUAGCUAGUUGGUAAGGUAACGGCUUACCAAGGCAACGAUACGUAGCCGACCUGAGAGGGUGAUCGGCCACACUGGAACUGAGACACGGUCCAGACUCCUACGGGAGGCAGCAGUAGGGAAUCUUCCGCAAUGGGCGAAAGCCUGACGGAGCAACGCCGCGUGAGUGAUGAAGGUCUUCGGAUCGUAAAACUCUGUUAUCAGGGAAGAACAAAUGUGUAAGUAACUGUGCACAUCUUGACGGUACCUGAUCAGAAAGCCACGGCUAACUACGUG
rnacentral:rRNA from 1 species